rnacentral:sRNA from 1 species
AUCGGUUUGAAGCACAGAACCUUUAAGCAGUUUAGUAGCGCAGUCCUCAAAGAGUUAUCAUAGAUACCCUUCGACGUGAUCUACCUUCCUUUAUCGCUUUAAAAAUCUGUAAAACAUUCCAAUUGCGCCGGAAGGCAAAUUUAAUUUAAAAGGUAAUAUCUAUGUCUAACAAAAUGACUGGUCUCGUAAAAUGGUUCAACUCUGACAAAGGCUUCGGCUUCAUCACUCCUGACGAUGGCUCAAAAGACGUGUUCGUACACUUCUCUGCUAUCCAGAACGAUGGCUACAAGUCUCUGGACGAAGGCCAGAAAGUGUCUUUCACCAUCGAAAGUGGUGCUAAAGGCCCAGCUGCUGGUAACGUAACUAGCCUGUAAGGUUAGCGUUAGCAAAGCUAAGAAUUUAAAAACCCGCCUCGGCGGGUUUUUUCG